rnacentral:rRNA from 1 species
UACGUAGGGGGCAAGCGUUGUCCGGAUUUAUUGGGCGUAAAGAGCGUGUAGGCGGCCAGGUAGGUCUGCUGUGAAAACUCGAGGCUUAACCUCGAGCUGUCGGCGGAAACCAUCUGGCUAGAGUCCGGAAGAGGAGAAUGGAAUUCCCGGUGUAGCGGUGAAAUGCGCAGAUAUCGGGAAGAACACCCGUGGCGAAGGCAGCUCGCUGGGACGUUACUGACGCUGAGACGCGAAAGCGUGGGGAGCAAACAGG